rnacentral:piRNA from 1 species
AUUCGGAGCUAACAAAAACAAAC